UUAUCUAGCCGUUUAUAUCUCCUCUAAUUGUCUAUAAAUUGGAUCGCCUAGCCUUGUUCAUCAAUCAUUAGGAAGCCGGUGGUCCGGGUUGGUAUUAAUUUUCGGUGUUGCUUUUGUUAUUGGUGGUCGUGUGUCAUUGAUUUCAAUUAUUGGAUUGAGCAUAGGGAAUUCGAUGGUACGAAUGCCCCUUGUGGAUUUUCGUGUUUUUGGAAGAACUUUGGUUUUCUCGUUCAUCCCUUGAAUUCCAACGUGAAGAUAUUAUGAUUUCCCUGCUCUGAUGAUAGAUGUAUUGGUAAUCAUUCCAAGAAUCUGGGUUUAUGGUAUUUUCUCGAUUCCCGUAUUUUUGGAAGAACUUGGGUUUUCUCGUUCAUCCCUUGGAUUCUAACGUGAAGAUAUUAUGAUUUCUUGGUCUGAUGAUAGAUAUACUCUUGAAUUCUAACGUGAAGAUAUUAUGAUUUCAUGGUCUGAUGAUAGAUAUACUGGUGAUCAGUCCAACAACCUAGGUUCAUGGUAUUUUCUUGAUGCUCAUUAUUUGAAGCUUGGAUCUUUCUGAUAAUUCUUUGGCAGUUCUAUCCCGUUUUCCUCCGUUUUGUGGGGUUUUCUUUCUUGGUUUGUUAAUAUUAGAUAUUGUGAUUUCCUGGUCCGAUGAUCAAGCAGAUAAUCACUCAACUCUGGGUUUCUGGUAUUUUCUUGACACUCUUCUGAUGAUUCUCCAUGGGUUUUUCUUCCCUGAUUUGAUCAAGUUUGAUUUAUCGUUUAUCCCUUUAAUCCUAACUUGAAGGUGUUGUGAUUUCCUUGUCCGAGACCAUCAUUUAAAGAACCUGGGUUGCUGGUAUUUUCUUGAUACUCAUUAUUGGAACAUUGGCCUUUAUGUUUACCCCGUUUUCCUCCGUUUUGUUGGGUUUUCUUUUUUGGUUUGGCAGAUGCUUGUGGUCGUCCAAGCUUUUAGUAAUUUCGUAUUGAUUCCAGUUACUGGAUCGAGAAUAAGAACUUAUGAUAUGAUUUGAUUAGUUUCUUUUCUCUCCUGUGUAGUUCUCAUAAUUUUGCAAAAACGGGAUUUUUUUGUUUAGCACUUGAAUCCUAACUUGAAAGUAUAUAGUGUUUUCUUGAUAUCCUGACAAUAAUUUCAAGAAUCUGGGUUUCUGGUAUUUUCUUGAUAUUCAUUAUGCGAACUUGGUCUUUCUGAUUUUUCUUCUUUGGUUCAGCAGUUGCUGAUUUUGGUAUUUUGGUGGCAGUACAAGUGUUGGUAAUUUUUUAUCGAUUACUAUUAGUGGGGUGGGAAGAAGAAGUUUUGAAGGUUUGGAGUUUUUUUCUCUGGCCGAAACUUUGGAUUUUUAUUUAUUUUUAUUUAUCCAUUGAAUCCUAGAUAUGAUUUCCUUGUAUGAUGAUGAUAAUGAUAGAUAUACUGACAUUAAUUCCAAGAAGCUUUGGAAGGAUGAGUUUUGGUGAUAUUGCAAACUUGUAUUUUCUUAAUACUAAUUAUUUUUAAUCUUGGGUCUUCAUGAGGAUUUUUUGGUGGUUUUAGCCCGUCCAUUUUGUGGCUUUCUUCCUUGCUUUUGGCGGUUUGGUGUUGGUUUUUUGGUUGGCCAUCCCAGCUAGAUACACUGACAGUUAUUUCAAGAAUCUAUAUAGAAGGAUUGGAUUUUGGUGCCAUUGCCAGGCGUGGAACUGGUAUUCUCAAAUUUUCUUGAUACUCGUUAUUUGUAUGGUCGGGGUUUUUCAUGAUUUAUGGGUUAUUUUAGCUGCUCGUUUCCCCUCCUUUUUUGGGACCAAUCUCUUUCUGCUCGAUUUUAUUUACUUCAUCCAGAUUUGUUGCCCUGGUUUUAUUUCCUCCUGUUCAGAUUUUUUAUAGGUCCGGAUCUGUUUUAGUGAUUAAGACAUGGAGUUGUUUGGACGCAAAUUUUUGCACCUGGAAUCUCUUUAUUUGGUUUUAAGUGCAUGCGAUUUCAAUUGCCAUCAGAAAAUUCAGGUGUGAACUGUUAAUUAUCAGAAAGUGGUGUUACUGGUGGGGGGUGCAGUGGAGCCUACUUUUGUGAUUUUGGGUUUUUAUUUUUUAUCAUUUGACCCAUACACAAGGCUUUCUUUGGUGUGUGUCUAUGAGUUUCUUUGGUUCUCAGGAAUCGCAUCAAGUGGUUUUCAGGAUGGUGUGAAGCAAUUAUUUAUAUGGUUUUCGGUUGUCAUGGAAUAUGAUCUUCACACUUAUAAUGGGAAAACCGUUUGCUGUUGUGAUUCUUCAUCCGCUGAUGGAAGUUGUCAUGAUAAUGGAUAUUAAUAAAAAUGGGUGUAAGAUUCUCAGAUGUUUUACUUGAUUUCUUCUUCAAUGGUCUCAGCUUGUGUUGGAGGGAGUUCAGGUGGACGCUGGUAUUUUAUAAGGUGUUCUGGAGGGGAAACCUAUUCAUUGUUUACUGCAGCCACGGCCCAUGCUUACGAUGGUGAUUUGUAACCUCUCUCAGACUCUGCUCUAUAUAAAAUUAAAUGUAGAACUUUUUUUUGGGUCUUUUCAUAUAAAAAUGCCUUAGGUUGAUAUUUUUUUUCGCAUGCAGGCAGAUUCGACAAGAAGAGUAAUGCGUGAUAGGGAAACUAUUAGGUCUCAGGGUGUCAUCAAUCUAUUUGUAUUUUCUAUCCUUUUACCGUCAUUUCUUAUUCCAUUCAAUUUUCCCCCUCUUUUCAGCUUCCUGCCUUUUUCCCUUUCCGUUUGCAGAAACUGCUUAUAAAAAUUGCUGUGGUUACCAUCCGAUCUUUCAAGCUUUUGUCGGCUGUUUUUGAAACUUCGGCUGCUAAUUUCAGGGUCUUGGUUUGGUUUGUUGAAAAUACUUCUUAUCCCUUUAUAUAACCCUUGAUCCAGAUGGGUACCUACUAGAUAGGGUGGUGGACUGGCAGUUGGCAUUGAUAAGAACAGAACUCUAAGUUUGGGCAAGAUUGAUGAAAUAUUGAACUCUUCUAAGGAACACAGAGAUUCCUUUAGGUGCAAUAACUUGUUUUCGUAACAUUCUUUCCUAGUAUUUUUGAGCACUGGGGUUUCAAUGUUAUCCUAUUUCUAAUAUAUACUGAUCCAUUACCCUUUUUUGAGUAAGCACCCUUUAUAGUUGGAUAUGAUGGUUCUAUAUUUCCAUUUUCUCCUCUACUUCUGUAGAGAACUACCCUACAUUAGUAGGCGGCAACAAUUCAAUCUUCUACAACUUUUGUAGCAUUGAAAUUGCAGGAUAAUGGGAGGAUUUUUUGCACCUGCUCGUUUGUAUGAAGUUCAUUCUCUCUUUCCUUGAACUCAAAUUUUACCUGCAAUUCUGUAUUUACUAAUGGAUAAGAGUAUUCACAAUUCUGCACCUGCUCGUCAGUUUUCCAUGUACGUAUCUUAUUUCUGAAGGGGUAUUAUGAGAUGAGGUCGACAGGCAGACUUAUAUGUUUCACUUGGUUAGAACAUCUAUUCCGAAUACUUCUACUGUUUAUGCUUAGUGUUCGUAGUGAAAGGCAGUUCUGAAGCUAAAUAAUUAUUUCCUGCGGUUUGUUUAGGAUAAUAUUUUCACAUGAUGUUUAAGUUUUACUCUCAUAUUUCUAAAUAAUUUAGGUAUUUGCAGAUGAUAUUUUGGUGGACUGUGACACCAUUUGGAGAAGGGGCAAAAUAUGGAGUUUUAGUCCUCUGGUAUUUCAGUGUCUUGAUUCUGCAUAGAUUAAUUUCAAAAUGCACACAACCUUGACUCUGAUUGGCAAAUUAAGUCUUGUUUAGUGUAUAGUGGUGUUGCAGGUUCCACUCCUUUGAUCUUUUUUGCUAGGAAUGGAGUUUUAGUCCUCUGGUACCAUUUCUGUCAUUUGAUCCUUACAAAAGGCUUCCUUUGGUAUUUUUAUGCAUUGCUUUAUUCCUUAGGAAUUUGCAGUUUUAAGCGGUUGAUAGUGGGGAAAACAACGCCGUUAAUUGUUUGCUGUGGUUUGUUAUAAUUGACGUUUCUGUGAGUUGAUUGGAAUAUAAUCUUCACAUACAUAUUGGUACAGAAUCUGGUUUCCUUUGGUGCUUCAUCCACAGCUGGAAAUCGUUUUCGUCAAAUAAAAAUGGAUAUUUACGGAAUAAACGGUGUAAGAUUUUCCUUUCUUUUUCUUCACUCAUUUCUGGUUCAUCAGUCUCAGUUGUGUAUUGGGGGAGUUCAUGUGGAGUUUGAUCAGUUCACAAAGACCAAGGCCAUGUUAAGGGGAACUUAUUCAUUGUUCACUGCAGCUAGUCUUUGCUCUAACAUGAAAUGGAAUCUAGUUUUUUUCAGUCUUUUGAAUCACCUUAGUUUCUCUGAUGUGUGUCUGCAUUUGAGGAUGGCACAUGUAACUGAUAAGGUGUUAAGUUUAUUUGUGGUGUUAGUUUUUGAUUUUGUUGGCCCUUUUACCUAUAGUUUGUUCUCCCUACCUUUGUAGACAAGGCCUUCAACUUGAAAGGAAGGAAUCCAUUUGAACUUUUUGGGGCACCUACACGGGUCAGGAAUCUCUAGUAAAGUGGUUUUCAGGAUGGUGGAGCCAAUAUUGUUAAUUUUUUGUUGUGGUUUGUUUUAUUGAUAUAUUUUUAAGAGUUGCUUGGAAUGUGAUUUUCACUUCAUAUUGGUACAGAAUCUGGUUUUCUUUGGUGCUUUUUCAUCCACAGCUGGAAAUCCUUUGGUCAGAUACUAUUCGAUUCUUAUGAAAGAAAGGGUGUAAAAUUCUUCUCUUCUCUUUGCUCAUUUCUGGUUCAUCAGUUUCAGUGUGUGCAUUGGGGUUGUUUAUGUGGAGUCUGAUCAUUUUACGAGGUCUGAGCUGUGAAGGGAACUAUUUUGCGGCUACAUUCGCAUUGGCUAUUACAUCUGUCUUUGCUCUACAUGAACUGGAAUCUGGACUUUUUCAGUUUAGUAUAAAAUUUGCGGCUACAUUCGCAUUGGCGAUUACAUCUGUCUUUGCUCUACAUGAACUGGAAUCUGGACUUUUUUCAGUUUAGUAUAAAAUGCCUUAGGUUUUUGAUGUUCCUCCUUGUGCAGAUAGAUUUGACGGGGAGAGGUCCAAGAGGAUGGCACAUGAAUCAGUUCAUGGGUAUUCUGUGAUGGUGUAGUUGUGAGGUUGGUUACUGAGGCUGAACUAGCAAAACUUGGUUCCAGGCUCCAGUGGUUCUGUGCUGGUUAAUUCAAGGAUCCUUUUUCCUUUUCUUUAACGUGUGGGUAACCUCUCAAGGUGGUGGUGUGCUAGCUGCUGGAUGACGCGUCUUCCCUGGGUGACGACUAAAAGUUGGUUGCAUGUUCUUUGUAUCUAUCUGUUUUGUCCAAUCUUGUUUUGAAUUCAAUGAUUCUUCAUUUCAUCUUUUUUGAAGAUAUAAAAACCAAGUUCAAUUGUUUUCAAAAAAGAUGCUACUGAGACGCAGCACUGGAGAUUUAUGAUUCUUAAGGAUUUUGAAAAGGGCAGAUUGGCUUCUUUCGCUGGUAGCAUACUCUAUUUUAAAUAGUGUGAUUGACUUUUCAUCUCUUCCUUGCGCGAUUGAAUUUGCAGUUCUGCAAGGCUUCAUGGUGAUAUUCGUGAGUUGAAAUUUCUGCCUGGAUGUUUUCUGUUCUAAGUUUUGAUUAAUUAUCUUGGAAUCCUUUUGUGUUGGUUGAUUCCUGGUUACUCCACUGUCAAAGGCAACUUAAAAUCAGACGGAACGAGCAAUCCUGCAAAGAAAUAGAUUAAAAAAUAGACCGAUGAUCAACUCUCACUCGUACAUAUUGCAGACAAUUGUUUUUGCCAACUCUUGGGUUAUUUAUCGUUCAUGAUUGUGAGGUUUGUAGAUUUUUUUGCUCUGGUUAGUGGUGUUGGAUUUUAUGUGCAAUAAUAAAGAGAUGAAAAAGAAAAACAAUAAUUUACGUGGUUCGGUAGUGUGCCUAUGUCCACGAGAGCGAAGCGGAGAUAAUUUUUAUUCAAUAGUGAAAAAUAGGGUUACAACAUAUUAUUUAUACUAAUCCUAAUCUUGGCCCAUAUAAGACUUUAAGGCCCGUACAAGAAAUACCCCUGUUCCAGGACUUAUGUUCCACUCUUUAUGAGCCACAUGAACAACAGUUAGACCACUCCUUGCCCUGGUUGGUUAGACCACACUUCCUUGCUGUGAUCCUAUGCACAUUACUAUUAUGCAGGUGACUUUGAACUAAUUGUUCAUAAUUGCAUGUGGUUGAUUCCUUGUUUAUGAGCUUCAAAUUGAGGUUAUAUUGAUGAAUUUCAGGCUAGAUUUGAAAAGGCUGUUGCGGUUAUCUACAGAUUGAUCAGCUUGGAUUUGGUUCUUUAUUUGUUGUCGACGGCAGUAAGACAAUAACCAUACGGUUACAGUCUGUUUUUCAACUUAUUUGAUUUAUUUGCCUACGAACUUCCUUGGCACAGUAAGGGUUUGAAUAGUGUUCCUUCUAGAAUCUGUGGUUUAUCUGGCCUUCAUUUUGAUAACUGAUUUCAUCAGUUCCAUUUGAGCACAUGCUUAGAUCCUCUACUCUGUAGUGUUUGCUUUUGGAGCCACAUUUAUCUUCUUUCUCUAGUUCAAAUAUAAUGAUAUGGAGAAGCUAUGAUAUUUUUGGGGCUGUCCACUUCGUUACAUGUGUUUCAUAUGAAAUACAUGUGGUGUUUCUCUGAUAUUCCACAAUUCCAAGUAUAACCAAGUAGCUCAUAUUUAAGGUAAUGUUGGGACUCCUUUUCAGACAACUGAUAACUAAUCAACUUUCUGUUACCUUGUCAUCUGAUAUAUUAUGGAGUUGAAUAUAGGUUAGCUAUGAACUGUUGGAAGCCACUCUUGAGGGGUAUCCUUGCAGCUGGAGUCCAGCUCUAUGCUGUAUUUUUUCGCAGCUGCUGCACACGAAGUGUAGGAGGCUUGAAUCUUAUUUGGGCAUUUGGUAUUUAUUAAUCAGUGGUGCCUGUUGAAUUCAAAAUUUUCUUCCACCUUGUGUGUAGCCUUGAUGGAAUAUUUCAGUGUGUUGUUUUUCUUGUGUUGUACCUGAGUGCGCGUCUUAAGCUUUCCGUAUCGAAGAGGAAAGCUGCAAUCAGCUCUGGAAAUAUUAAGUGUCAGAAAUAUACAGAACAUGCACUAUUAGCUAACAAUCAACACCUAUGACGAUAUGCUCGGUAUGGAUGGUUUUGACUCGCAAGUUCGAAGGAGCUCUCUCUCACUGUAAUCCACACUUUUCCCCGCACAGUCGAUUAUUGUUUGGCGGACGGACCAAAGGAUAUAUAAAUACAAGUUGACUAGGAGGCAUAUUCAGUACGCAAUAUUUUCCAUUUAACUAUUACUCUAAAAUUUUGCCUCAUACCCUAUUCAGUCUCUUUGAUUACCCUGUGUUGUUACAAACUGGUUUUUUAUUCUUUGGAUCAAGUUAGAUUGACGGUGUCAAGUACGUAGAUACCUACAUGAUCAUAAAUAAAUCCAUUUCACGCUUGCAGAUUUUGCUCGUAGACAAAAAUGCUGCAUAAUCCCACUACUGGCCCAUAAAAUGAGAACUGGAAGAGAAAUAUAAAUCGAUACUUGGAACUAAAAAGUUCAUUUUACCAGUAUUUCUCCUCUAAUUCACAAUUUUGUGUCUUUCAAUAUUUCGUAACCUUUGCUUUUAUGCACAAUUCUGGUUGUUGGUAAGUCAAAUUUUGAAGGGAACAAAGACUAUUUUAAAAAUGGUAAGAUGUUCUUGGAUUUGCUGCAUACUAUACUGUGUUUUAAAGUUGUUUCAUUGUGUGUCUGUUUUGGUUUUAUGUAGUUGACUCUUUUUAACUCCGCCUGUGUUGCAUGUUUGCUCAACACAGCCGGUCCCAAGCCCGGAAAAGGAGGAGGGUUUGAGUCAACAGAUGGGAUCUCAAUGUUUUUUAAUUAUCUCUGCAUUUGUGUUUUUUCUGCCUAUUUUUAGGUUGCCUUUACUCUCAACUCUUUCUGAUUGCGUGCAUCUUUUCUCUGUGUUGCGGGUUCAACUUUUGGAAUAUUAAUUACAUUGGGAGUGUUGAAGGCUUUAUUCUUGUAGCUGGGUAUAGAAAGGAAUCUACGAGCUGCUGUCUUUGGGGAAUUGUAUGAUCUAGGGCUAACAUAAUAAUCUCGAUUUCCAUUCCUUGAAUCUACUUGUUGAUUUCACCUUAUUUUUGGCAGUUAGAUGUAACUGGUUCUAGACGAGCUGUGUUGGCUGGCCAUACAACUUUUGCAGUGGAAUGCAAAAUGAACUCUUCUUCAUUUGCCAGGUUGCAUGAACCAUUUUAGGUGUGCUGUCUCUUAAGAGUAAGUUUUACUUGCCCUAUUAUUUAUCCAUAAUCUGUUUCUUGCUUUGAAAUAAGUGACUUAUUAUUUUUAAUUUAAACUAUGUGCUCACUGGUAUGGGGAAUGAGAACUUCUAACCAUCCAUGUUCAUGAUAUACACGGAAGUCAAAACUGUGAGAUGCCACAUUGUGAAUGUAUUAAUUUCAAAGGGCGUUAUAUAUUAAAUGGAAAAGUGUUCUUGGUUGUUCUGCAUGUUACACUCUAUUCAAAAGUUGCUUUAUUGUGUCAAUUUAUGUUUUUAUCUAAUAAUAGGCUCUUGUAAUUCCAUCUGUGUCAAUCCAUAUCUAAGAUAAUAUAACAUUUAGGAAAAUGGUAUAGCUCGAGUUACCUAUCUUAGAGAACUCGUGACAGUCUUAUUGACACACCUUUGAUCAGUUAAAAUUAUUAAUGUAAAUUGUUAGAUAUUACCUACUAGUAUAGCAGCGAAAUGAAAUAGUCAUUUAACUACAUUAAAUGUAUGUAGGAAAAUGCCCUCGAUCUGUUUAGUUCAGUUCUGUGUGAUGUUUUCUGGAAAUUUUCUUCGACUCACUUUGGCAUACAAUCAUAGAAUUCAUUAAUUUGCUUGUACAGUCCAAAUAUUACUAGAAUCAAUAAUUAUGAUUAACAUGGCAAAGAUUGCAUAAAUAUAUUUUUAAGACUUCACUGCUUUCCCAAAUUUACUAGAAAUGCAGGAGGGAAGUAAUGAUGGUCAAGAAAAGCUAUCAUUCUAUAUUUUCUUGUUUGCAAGUUCCAUAACUGAAAGGUUUCUCAGAGCUGGACCCAGCUGCAACCGCCGCAUUAGAGCUUCUUCAGGUAAUGGGUCCUCGGGAAGUAGAGAUGACAGAAAGGAGACCGCAUCUGAGAAGGCUUAGAAGGGUAUCCAGGGAAGCAGCCUUGAACAAUUGUGCAGAAUACUGGUUUUGUAUAAUUCAAGGAGAAUGGCGUUUUGGUGUGGAAUCAGAAUUUGGUGAAAUACUUUUGUUCUUUCUUUUGAACUCAAUAAAUGUGUAGGGUAGAUUCAAAUCUAUAAACUCACAUAGUUGAGAGGAUGAAGAGCUUUAUUCUUCUUUCAUGUAUGAGAUAAUCAAGGAAGGCUCCAAGUAAGUUCCUUCAAGCACUGGGAAUUUAUCGCUCUGAGGUGUCUCUCUCCCUGGAUGGCCUAAACAACAGUUGGAGUCAUAAGGAAAAUACCAGUUGGACAGGAAGCCUUUCACCGCCUUCUCACGCUAAUGAAAGCCAUUUUUUGAAUGUGCUACAGGAGAAAUCGAAUAACUAUGGCAUCUCAGUACUUCCCUUCAUUCAUUGAGUUGGAGGAAUCCAUCAUAGGGACAUUGUCUUUUCGAAAGCUUCAAACUCAUGCUCUUCAUCGAAAGCGGCUUCCAAUUGCUCGGAAAUUCUCCGCUCUGAGCUGCUAAGGGAUUAACCUGAUUGCCCUAAGGCUUGGAACGAUUAGGGGAAAACCAUUGAAUUGUGUCGAUUCGAGCUAGCUUCAGGUCUUCUUCAAUCAGAAAGUAAUGCCUUUUCACUAUAGUAAGGGAUUCGAUCCAUAUGCGAAAGGAAAGAGGGAGAAGACAGCUAUCCGAGGCUCAAGCGUAGUAUCUACUGUUCAGGACUUGUCCUGAGCUCUUUAGAGCAAAAAAUUGGAUAUAUCUAUAAAUCUCACUCUCAGAACUCUGGCAUCGUGUGCUUGUACAUUUUGUAGUGCUGGAAUUCUGAAUUUUGUAUCUGCUUUCCACUUCAAUCAGAAUUUGGACAAUGGGUUUUCAGAUUUUAAUAAAAAUUUCUUUCGCGUUAA